rnacentral:rRNA from 1 species
AAGCCAGACUCCUACGGGAGGCAGCAGUGGGGGAUAUUGCACAAUGGGGGAAACCCUGAUGCAGCGACGCCGCGUGAGUGAAGAAGUAAUUCGUUACGUAAAGCUCUAUCAGCAGGGAAGAAAAUGACGGUACCUGACUAAGAAGCCCCGGCUAACUACGUGCCAGCAGCCGCGGUAAUACGUAGGGGGCAAGCGUUAUCCGGAUUCACUGGGUGUAAAGGGAGCGUAGACGGCGACGCAAGUCUGGAGUGAAAGCCCGGGGCCCAACCCCGGGACUGCUCUGGAAACUGCGGCGCUGGAGUACGGGAGGGGCAGGCGGAAUUCCUGGUGUAGCGGUGAAAUGCGUAGAUAUCAGGAGGAACACCGGCGGCGAAGGCGGCCUGCUGGACCGCGACUGACGUUGAGGCUCGAAAGCGUGGGGAGCGAACAGGAUUAGAUACCCCAGUA